AUGAAAAACACAAGAAAAAACAAUAAGACCUACAAGGAUUACUCAAUUCCUUAUUAUUCAAAAUCGCCAACAAAGAACUGUUUUUAUCACGCCAUUGAUUGGAGGAGCCGAGCGGUGUGUUUGAACGUAAAUAGCAAUCAUUUGCUGAAUAACACCAUCCUCCUCCCUUGAAAGCACAAUUAAACAUCAUUAGAAAAUUAUUUUGUAAAAGAAACUGCAAGUCAUCAAGAGUAAAUUAUAUAAGUACCCUUAUAGAUAGCCAUAAAUACACUUGGUACCCCAACUAAUUAUCAAUAUUACAGUCAGCACCCCGUGCCUUCUAGUUUCGUGACCGAUUCAGGGAAGUUACGUAAAUACCCUAGUAUUUUAUCAAACCAAAUUAUUUAAAUAUCCUGUUUUGGCUAAUUCAAAGGUGGCACUCCUUCGAAAGAUAAAAAAAAUCUCUUUUGAUGUUUCUUACCACUGAAAUAGACAUUUACCAUCCCCAACACCCCACCUCACCCCACCCACCCAGAAAAGAAAAGAAAAGUAGGCAAAUUUGUGAUAAAAAAACACACAAAAAAAGUGAUAGAAAUUUGAAACAAAUAAAAUCCUAAACCCCAAUUAAACCCCAACUCCCAAUUGAUAAAACAAUGAAGAAAAUAGAGAGACAUAAACAUGAAGAGAGAAAGCCAUGGGUAGGAGACAAUGCGCCCGAUUUCAAAACUUCUGGUUGAGAUAUAAAGUUCUACAUCGAUCGGGCACUAACAACUGGAGGCUUAAUAUAUAAUUUGAGAUACUAUUCCACUCGUUGUUAAUUAGUUUUGAGUUGGAUGCUUAAAUAUGGUAAUGUCGUUUAAUGCUCGGUAGUCUAUGUAGAAUCGCCAUUCGCCAUCAUGCUUUUUAACCAAAAGCACAUGUGAGGAGAAGGGACUAUUGCUGGGUCUGAUAAGUCUCUCUUGCAAUAAGCCUCGAACCUGUUUUUCAAUUUCGGAUUUCUGGUAGUAUGGGUAUCGAUAAGGACGCACAGUAAUUGGACUAGCAUGAGGCUGUAGAGGAAUGUGAUGGUCAUGGGAUCUUUGAGGUAGUAGAGUUAUAGGUGAUUCAAAUACUUUAGAAAAAACAAUUAAGAGUUGAUCUAAAUCUGGAGAAUAAUGGGAGAUAUUAACGGCACAGUGGGUUGGAAGCAAUUGCAAAAAAAAUUCCAUAUCGUAAGUAGCGGUUCCGGUUAGCCCACAACAGUCCUUCUCAGUUAAGACUUCUAAACUCUUUGAAAUUUUUAAUCCUUGGAAAGUAUGCCAAACACUAUCCUGUUGGAAUCUCAUUGUAAGUUGCAUAUAGUCCGUCUAAAUUGGUCCAAGGGUAGCAAGCCAUUGGACCCCUAACACAAGUGGACACACUGCUACAGGAAGGACGAAAAAAUCUGCAAUGACCGUAUAACCUUGAAUUCGAACAACGAGUCCUUGACAUAACCCCGCACACUCAAUCCUUUCUUUAUUUGCCACCAUCACAUGGAACUUCUUAUUGCGAGACAUUGAUAGACCCAGUUUGGUUACAAGGGAUUGAUCAAUGAAGUUAUGUGUGCUACCUCUGUCGAUGAGCACCGUAACCUCCUUAUUUUUCAUCCUUCCUAUCACCUGAAGGGUUUGUGGGUGAGCGGUACCUGCUAUGGCGUGGAAAGAGAUUUCUGGUUCCAUCUCGAAUUGUUCGUCAUCUUGCGGAUUGCUUCUGUUUACUUCAUAACCUUGCUCCACUGAAUCCUCCAUCAUAAAAAGUUGGGGUCGCUCGCAUUGAUGUCCCGGAACGAACUUCUCAUCACAAUAAUAGCAGAGCCCCUUUUCUCUACGUUCACGAGCUUCCUGGUUGGAGAUGCGACGAACGGUGGGAUUGAAGGAGGUUGUUCGCUAAGUUGGUGCAUUUCCUAAUACCCCCGGCAUGGAGUUAACGCUCACUUUUAUUGGUGCUGCAGAACGGAAUGAUGGAGUUGGCUUCCUCUGUAAGUGGUUACGUUCUUCAACAAGACGAGCUACCCCAAUUGCUUCCGCUAAAGAGUGUGGGUGUUUAAUUUUUACGUCCAAACGGAUCUCGUCUUUCAAACCUGCAAUGAAGCAUCCAAUAAGAAAAGUUUCAGGAAUCCCAUCAACCUGGUGCGAUAAGCUUUCAAAGGACUCUUGAUAGUUCGCAACCGUCAAUGUCCGCUUCAAUCUAUUAAGGGCCUCAGAAGGAUCUUCAUAUUCCGUGGGUCCAAAUCAGAGGAGAGUUUCCUUAGCCAAUUCGGGCCAUGUCAGUGGACCCUUGAAUUUGGUCAUCCAUCUAUGCCACUGGAGAGCAAUUCCUUCAAGGUGGAAGGAGGCAAGUUGAACUUGUUGCUCAACUGGGAUUUUUUGGAACUCCAAAUAUUGUUCUGCCUUGAAUAACCACCCAUGAGGAUCCUCUCCGUUGAACCGUGGAAAAGAGAGUUUAAGGUGAUGCGUCGAGCCGUCACCAUUGCUAUUAGAGGUCUCUCCCGGAUACAAAGGAUUGAUCUCUCGCACGUUUGACUGGGGAUUUCGUGUAACCCGCAAGGCUUGAAGCUCGGUUAGGACCUGCUGCAAGGUCUCAUUGACCUGAUCAAUACUUGAUUCGUGGCGAGCCAAAAUUUUGUUAACGUCAUUCUAAAACUCUGCGUUGGUCUUACCACAGGUGUCCAUAGUUGCCAACAAAGCAACCUGGCUCUGAUGCUAAAAAUGAUGUGUUGAAUUUAAGAAGAAGAGACAAGAGGAAAAAAAAGAAGUAAGAGAGAAGUUUGGGUUUCAAUAUAUGCAUGCCUUUUAUUAACUUCAUUGGCUAUCUUAAAUAGCCUUGCAACUGGAAUGGGAAAAGGAAAUUAACAACUACUAAAAAGUAGGGAACACAUGCCCACUAACCCACUAACUACAUGCCAGUAAAAUUGGUCCUAACAACAAGGAAAUAACAACCCAAAUAAACAACUCAAGACUAACUAAAUUGAACCCAUGUAUGCACCAUGUAGGUAGAAACAUGCAUGGGCUUUGCAUCAUGGCAGCAACAUGCACACAUCAAAAGGAAAACUUCAAGUUUUCUAUUCUUUUCUUUUCUGUUCUAAUUUAAGUUUUUUAUUCUUUUCUUUUCUGUUCAAAACUCAGAAACAGAAUGUUACGAUAAUUACUCUUGAUUGAUUUGUUUUAGUGCUAUGCACAGCUGGGUUCAAGGAAAUAAGAACCAGAAGAGGAGAGGCGGAGACCCUCCAUGACUCCCUAGGUUUUUCACUCUCCCUUCUCUCUACCUUUUUCCAUAGCUGAUUUCACCCUCCUUUUCACCUUUCUUCCUUUCCCUUCUCCGAAUCUGCAAGCGAAUGUAGCCGAAUGAAGUUUUGCCUGCAGAUUCCAUUCCAGUUUCCUCAGACCUAACCGAAAUAUUACCAGCCAAAUCAACGUCAACCACUAUAUCAGAUUCAACCAUGUCAACCACUAUAUUAGCAGCCAAAUGUAGGUUCCGCUCCCAUGGGAACAAUUGAUAAUGAUUUGAUGACUAUGAUUGCCAAAAUGAGGUGAGGGCAACUGGGGAUUUUUUUUGAACAACCGAAUUUGGAUUUAGAUAUGGUUUUGGUUUGUUUGUUUUGGAUUUUGAUUGAUUUGUUUGAUGGAAGGAAUUUAGAUUGAGUGAACAACUGAAUUUGAAUUUAGAUAUGGUUUUGAUUUGUUUGUUUUGGAUUUGGAUUUGAUUGAACAGAAUUUAGAAACUCGAUUGUGGAGGGGAAGAGAGAAAGAGAGAACGAGAGAGGGUAACUGGGUUCAAGCAAAGGUAAAUUGAACAUAAAAUAAACUUAACAAAUAUGUGGAGAUCACAGUGUGAAAAUAUAAAAAACACUUGUUAUCGGCUGCUUAGAUUUAUAUGUAUAACUAUUCUGUCUUUUUCAAAUAAUUUAUUUUUAUUUUCUUAUUUUAUCCUUCAAUUUUGAUAAAAAUUCUAUAUUAUAUCCCACUAAUUUUACACACGCAACAACGCGUCACAGGAAACAGUAUUGGUUAUGGAAAUUUCCACCACAGUAAUGCUAUGUCCAUAGAAUUUUUGCACUCAACCAAUGCAACAUUUUUCCAUACAUUGUAGUAACCUUAUUCUAUAUACUCUCCCCCUCUUCUUUAAUAUAGGUCGUUUUAGAGUUGUGCACAAGUAUUAAUAAAAUGAUUGUAAAGCAUUAAAUAUAUUAUCAAUUGUCUAUACUGCCCUUGUAUUAGAAUAAGAUAUUGUUAUUCAUUGGACAGAAAAUAGUGAGAGAAUCAAAGUUACAUUUAAUACUUAGGGUAAUAUUGAAAACUAAGCAAUUAAUGCUUACUUGAAAUUUUUAAACGACUUAUAUUUAGGAACAAAAAUAUUUCUCUAAAACGACUUAUAUUAAGGAACGGGAGAGUAUCUCACAUGGUAAGUUAAUCCACAAUCAUAUUUACAUCUCACUUCCCUAAAUAUAUUUACUCUUGCAUUAUUAUGGCAAACAACUUGGAUUCCUCUCCAAAAAAAAUUUAAACAACAUCAAAAGAGUUAAAAUUAUGGGGACUUCUUCAUCAAUAGGGAAAUGAUAUAUCUUGCGACUUUAUUUAUUAUUAUUUUUGUGUUAUCACUUAUGUGGUAAUUCCAGUUAUCUAAGAAAUCCCGUCUAGGUCCGAUUAAUUUUUACCUAGGUGCUUGACAGUUCUCUACUUCCUCGAUUUGGUUGGACGCCUAGGCCCCCGCCUAAGCAUAAUCAAACCUCUAUUUUGAAGUUUUACAAUACUUAAUAUGAAUUUGAAUUUGAUAAUUCUUAAAAGAUUAUUUUUUAUAUUGUUUCGUUUAAAAUUUAAAAAGUUUUACAUCUACUAUAUGUUUAGCAUAGUAUAACAACUAUGUACAAUAAAAAUAAAUAAAUAUAUAAGACCGUCAAAGAAAACGACAAAUCCGCCUAGCAAAAUGCAUUGGCACCGCUUAGCUAGGCCGCCUAGGCGCCCACUUCGCCACCUACGUUCGUCUAACAAUUUUUUUUUUAGAACACCAAGUAAUUCUUUUGCUCAGGUAUAUAAUAUGGUGGACCAACCUUAUAAUCAUCGUCCAAUCCCAUUUAUGAUGUAUGCAACUAUAAUUCGGCAAAAACUUUCACAAUAUAUAGCAUGACUAACAAUAUCAAUAAGAUCACACUUCAUGCAAAUUCCAAUUAUUUUUCUAUACAUGCAUAUAAACAAGAAACACAUACCUGAUAGUUUAUAAUCACAAGUAUAAACAGAAUUUGAUCGGUGCGACCAAAUGAAAAUGGAGGAGCCAUUGAAACAUAUAUAAGAAUGGGUGAAAAGAUUUGGCUGGAAAUGGGGAAGCUCCAUUGACGCAGAGGAGAUUUCGGAACCGAAAACGAUGUUAACCUAUAAUUGGGAUUUUGAUUUUCAAAUCUCCUUCCACUUUUUUUUUGUGGUUUUUAAUUAUUUAUUUUGUUUUUUUUUCUUGUGGCUGC
rnacentral:lncRNA from 1 species